UCGAGAAUCUUCGGCAAUGGGCGAAAGCCUGACCGAGCGAUGCCGCGUGAGGGAUGAAGGCCUUCGGGUCGUAAACCUCUGUCACCCGGGACGAAGAAUGUGACGGUACCGGGAGAGGAAGCACCGGCUAACUACGUGCCAGCAGCCGCGGUAAUACGUAGGGUGCGAGCGUUAUUCGGAUUUACUGGGCGUAAAGGGUCCGCAGGGGGUUUGCCAAGUCCGAUGUGAAAUACCAUAGCUUAACUGUGGAACGGCAUUGGAUACUGGCGAACUAGAGUGCAUGAUGGGUGAGCGGAAUUCCUGGUGUAGCGGUGGAAUGCGUAGAUAUCAGGAAGAACACCGAUGGCGAAGGCGGCUCACUGGCGUGCAACUGACCCUCAGGGACGAAAGCGUGGGGAGC
rnacentral:rRNA from 1 species